GAGGGAGGGAGGAAUGGAGGGGGGAGAGAGAGAGAGAGAGGGCGAAAGAGAGCAGCAAAGGGGAAAAGAAAGAAAGUUCUGUAUGGGGUUACCUAUGCUCAUACCGAGCCUAGUUAGUCUGGCAUCGUACCACCUUUGUUUGCACGCCCCACCGGUGGGUAUCGUCACGACCGAACGUACACAGAGGACGAGGCACGCAAAUCCACAUAACGCACGCACACACGCACGCACGCACACACGCUCGCAUGUACGACGUCCUACGCACACAACGUCCGCCGCAGUAGCCGUAGCAUUAUAUCGUGAGCACAGAAGUAAUUUAUAGUUGCAAUAAUUUAUUGGGUACCAUGGGGUUUAUACUUGCCUGACGUGUAGCCAUCCGUCACCGUCAGUGACGUCACCUCCCUCCACAUAAUGACUACCUACGCCCCUGACUCCUUCCCCCUCCGUACGAUCCUACCUCCUCCUCAUCCUCCCUCCCCCUUCGCGGCCCCCUCGACCCCCGUCCGCCCCAUGGCCUGUGUGUGUCUCGGUGCUGAAGCGUGCACCCUUCUGCGUAACUAACCCCCACUCUCCUCGCGUGGCCAACUAGAGCAUUCGUCUAGUUAUAUUAUAUUUUCAGUUUGCUGGAAUACGAUAUUACUUGCCUGUGCCGAAGGUAAGAUAACGAGCGAUGCGGGUCUAACGUGGUUAAAGGCGCACACGAACACCUGCGACUUCUACGCGCGAUUAACAUUUGCUGAUACAUCCCACCCGUAAGGAAUUGCUUGCACGAAAAAAAAUGUAAUAAAUAUUAAAAUAUGUCAUUAUAUAUAUUAACUGUCUGUUUAAUUGUCAGAACUUUUAUCGAAGUAUCAAAGUUCUUUUUUUAGAGAAAAGUCAAAUCUCUUUCAACUGUUUCAAUAUUCGAAAAAUAUAGAAUACUAAUUUCAUAGAUUUGAAUUUAUAUUUCAAAAAUGCGAUAUGGAACGAUUUAUUAUAAAGAGAUAAAUAACGAUUAUAUAAUUAAAAUAAUUUUAAUUAAUUUUGCAUGAACAUAUAGACGAUACAUGACAUUAAUUUUCAUAAUUAAUAAAAUUUAAAUCAAGAGAAAGAGAGAGAGAGAGAGAGAAAGAAUAUAAUCAUAAUGCCUAUAAAAUGCCUAAGAACCUAUAAGAGCCUUUAAUGCUAUUCAGAUUUAUUAUUAUAAAAAUAUCAUAAAGUAGAUGUUUCGACUCGUUGUUGGGUCCUCUUCAAUACAUAUAUAGCGAUAAAUAUAAAAAUCGAUCGGCGCGUUGAAAUACAAGUUGACCAAUGUGAAAUGUCCAAUGUCAUAUUACGUAAGUAAAGUCAAUUAAAUUAAAAUUUGUCACAUUAAAUUCUUCAGUAAUAAAUUGAUGAUUGGCGUGCAGAUGAAGAAAAUUGUGUAGACAGUUAGUCGCAAUAUCCAAAACAUGUGAACAACGACGUAUAAUUAUUAGAGAUUAGUAUAAACGAACACUUUAAUAAAUGUACACGGUAAUUUAUAAACACAUGUAUGUGGACGAAGAAUUACAGGAUAACGAUACAUAUAAAAAGAAUGCUAGUCUGAUAAAAUUUAUUUUCAAGAGAAAGAAAGAGAGAGAGAGGGCUUAUAAACAAUCAGAUGGUUGAGUAGAACAGAUUGACGCAGGUCGUUUGAUAAAGCGAUAAGUAGAAAAAGAUUGUCCGAAAAUUUGAGCGCAGGAACCACUUCGGGAGGGUCGUCAUCUCAGAGGACUCGGGCAAUAACGAUUUUUCACGGGGGCAAAAUCGCGGAGAAACGCUCGUAUAUUCUCCGUGCAGCAGAAGUUCUGACGGACAGCGUCGAGUAAGACGGGAUGACGUGAGGCCGCGAUACGUCAAGCUUCCUCCUCCUCCUCCUCCACUUCCACCACCUCCUCCUCCUCUUCCUCUUCCUCCUGCCAUACCGACCUUCCACCCGCGCCUCUCCACAUCGUCUCUCACCUUCUUCGAUUUCACGUACACGUAGCGCGAGCGCGAGUCAGCUUCGGUGCAAGUGUUGGUAGUGUCGUUGCUGCCGUAGUAGUGGUGCCAUCGCAGUCACCAGAGGCGCCUUCUGAUGGCUGGCAGAGAUGACGAGUUGGUCCAGAGCUAGAUAUGCUCGUCACGUUUCUGGCUCCUGAGAGAAACGACGGAGGUGGGAGUGAAGGAGGAGGUAGGCAGCGGCAGCAGAGGAGGGCACGCGGGCGACGGAGCGGCAGCGGUGGCGGGCGGUAGUAGUGGUGGUGGGAAGCUGAGGGUGCGAGUGGAAGUGACGUUGACGGGCGUUUGUCACUGUCCUCGGCAAAUAAUAUCCAGCGCAGCCCGCUACACACUCACCCCACCGCCUCCGCAAACCUUCCUCAGGACGAGAGGCCCGCAGUGGAAGUCGCGUGUGUGUAUCCGCGAGUGCAUGCGCCAGCGAACUUGUAUUCGUGCCGGCUUUUCGUAUUAUGCAUCCGUGUAAAGAUACCUAUAUACCCACCUCGCUUCACCACUACGAGAGAAUGAUCGUUCGUUGUACAUUUUCUCGUUCAACGCACUCACCCCGCGCCGCGGUCUUGCUUUACACCUCGCGGCGCUACUUCGCAACUGCCUUCCCAUCUUCGCCACCCUCGUCAUCGAGCCUCUCGCACUUCGACGGCUGCGUCGGGGGUGUGGGUGGAGCUACAAUUUAUCGGCGGCCAUUGGCAACUCCUUAAUUAAAUUCAGGAUCGCAGACAGAACGAGGGAAAUGGAUUGUAUUGGUAUUCCCCGCGACACACACAGAGAGAGAGAGAGAGAGAGAGAGAGAGAGAGAGAGAGAAAGAGAGAGCGUAAAGAAUCUUUCCUCCGAAUAUUAACGGGACUACGAUCCACAAUUUCAGAACUCCACGAUUACCGUGAUGAGAAGAUUCAUCCGUUGUGACAACCGGAUGCAUGUUGUUUCGUGAGAGACACUCUCUUUCGCAGCGCCGUUACUGUCCUAACGUGUAAGUGAUGGACAUAUUAAUAAUCGUCAACAUCAGUUGGACAUCAUCUGCUUACCAUAUGUCACGUCGGUACGCGCUCUCCAGCCCACGUGGCAUCGAGUCAAUAGGGUGGAACGGGGAAAAAUAAUAAUGAUUCAGAAAUUAGCGGUAUGAAAUAUGGAACGUGGCUAAUUGUCGGACAGCUCGAUUUCCUGUUCCCACGGAGAAGGAUAAUUAGCGGAACUUAUUCGACCUGUCGCAGCGAACAGGUUCUGCGCGAAGGAGGGUGAUGAGUUCAACACAGUCGGAAGGGAUCGUCGAAACAGAAAGAGGUAAGGGUGGAAGUCUUGGCGACAGCCGUCAAUCGAUUGUCAACCGGGUCAGCCGACCAACCUAACCCGAACUUCGGAACCCCUCUUCUUCAAACGAUCCCUUCGUUCGUGUACGCAAGGAGUUGUCUUCUGUUCCGUUCCUUUUGUUCUUAUUAUCGGAAAUCUUUUUGACGUAGAUAACUUCUUUGAAGAAUGGCGAGUAAUGACGAAGAAGCACGGGUAAUUGUAACAACGUCAGUAUUCUUCUCGUAGUUGAUAAUCGACGGCGUUCGAAAAUUUUGUUCGUCGGUCUUUACAGAACUCAUAAGAAACUCCUUCGCUCGUUCGGACAAGUUUCUAAAUUGCGGUUAUUCAUAAUUAUGGAUAAUGGAGCAAAAUUCGGAACUUAAUUCGAUCCCUGUGCUUGCGUACACAGGUUUUGCAAAAACAAGUGACUCCAUUUACAAUUUGUUGGAUAAUGAUCUCUCGCCGGGUUCGUAGAAUUUCGUCCGAAACCAUAAACCCAAGGCUGUCAUUAACAGCCGGUUUAUCGGCUGUUACUUUUCCUUCCGGGAAAGAUGUUUAAUUCCACGAGCCUUGAAAAAAAAGCUGUCUAUCGAGAAAAAUUAGAGGAGUCUAUCAUAUAAAUCCGCUUAUUCCGAACGUUGACAAAAUUUCAAAAUUUCACACGGUACGUUUACGUGCCUAUGCACACUACAAUGAACUACAUUGAAAUGCAGGGUGCGCAUGUAGUUCACCUCGCAAAAGGGUGGAAACGUCAAGGGGGAACUUAAUUGAGCGUUCAAAACCGCGGUGUGUUCAAUUUGCUUCGAUUAACGUCUCUUCUCUCGCGCUGUGGGAGCAUCGGCACAGAACGGAGACGGCGAAGGGGAAAGACGAGUGUCCCGACGGAGGAGGGAAGGAUAGAGAAGAAGAAGAAGAAGGAGAGAGGGACGAGAGCGGUAGGAGAUGUAAUCAGUCUCUCGGACGCGGGGUGACGAGCUGUCUCUCGGCAUGACGACUGGACACGAACGUCCUCCACCCUCUCCUCUCUCUCGACCCGUCCUUUUCAAUGCUCACCUUCGCCACCCACCCCCACUUCAACAACUCCAGACGUCUGCCCCCUCUCGAGCUUGAUAGGUAUGGAAGUGAGAGCCACAGUACGUACAAUACACCUACACUUGCGUCGUUCGAAGGGGAACGGGGGGAAGUGACGGUCUGUAGGAGUAGGCACCCUCCUAGCCGCCUUUCCGGACCCUCCCCACCGUCGAUAUCAAGACUGCCGUCCGACAGAUCAAUGCCGUGAGCGGCGACGACGCCUGGGCGUCCACCGACGUUCUCGGACGGACGGGUGGACAUGGACGGACCCUCGAAAAUCGGCUGAUGGCUUUGCAAGACCCAACCUAGAUUGCUUCCAAAGAACCAUUGUGCGCACUCGGUCGCUCGGGAACCGUCGCAUCAAAUCGCAUUGUAGAGACUGAUUAACGGCCAAAGCUAGAGUCCGCCGAAACGAAGUCGUUAAAACAAAAUGUAUUAAGGUCAUUAUUAUUUAUGAUGUCAACGCGUAAAAUUUACAAUCGAUAAUCCUAAUAAUAAUUACGUAAUAUUAGCAUUGCGUUGUUUCUUUUGUAGCCAGAGCUUACACGGUUCAGGAGCUAAAAAAUUAUUUUAGAAUAGAAAUUCAUCUGUAAAACGUUAAGCAACAAGUGGAUCAUUUUUAUGGAUGCUAUAAAAGAGAGAUUUAUUAAAAUUUUUUUCUCUCGUUAAACGUCUAAUUAGAAAUUCUUUUUAUCACGAUGCAAAAUAGCAAGGGUAAAAUGACUCGAUAAUGUAAAAAUUAUGUAAAAGCGUGUAAAGACAAGUGAACGAGAUCAAGAUGAAAUUCAUAGCAAAAUGUAACGUAGGUUACAGAAGAAAACAUAAUGUUUUCCGAAAGUAUCGAUGAACGACAGUAUCUGUUGCUUUCUGAAAACGUUCCUCGAAAGAAAGUAGAUGCAUCACACGAGCAAGCUGACGGACGGACGGACGAAUGAAACCGCAGCCGUAAGCUUCAUUGCAUAUUCAGCGAGUGGAACCAUCCGGACGGGAGGAUUUUGUCUUGAACUCCGCGCGGAGCAAGAUCCGGAGAGGACGGUGGGAAGGACGGCGAGGUGUCAACGCGGCGGGAGGGAACCAUGACACGAGCCAUUGGACUUCGGAAAGGAGUCAGUCCUUCUACGGGACUUCAGAAUAUCGUUCUGCGGCGGUUUAUUGGUUUUGUUUCCGGUGGAUCCCCCGAGGGCACGGCUCGUACGAUGUUGGGCAGAAGGGAGAAGGAGAAGGCGAGAGACGUUGAAGCGCGCGGCCGGUGUGAUUACGAGGGUGGCGAUGCCGGUGGUGACGUCGAGUUAUUCGAGAGUAAAGCGGGGAAAAGCCAGAGAAGAGAAUUCGGCCUGGAGGACGUACGUAUGUAACUACGCUGUCCCUCCUUCACCGAGCGGACGGGAGACAUGCAUUCCUCGCGUUUUCCAGAGUGUCCACUUCAGCGGAUCGUCCAAGGGAAGGGAAGGGAAGGGCGCGAACCGCGAUAAAACUAAUCUCGCUGGAGUGCGAAGUCUCCCUAUCUUGUCCUGUCUUCUCUCCGGUUCUUCGUGUUUCUCCGGGUUCGACCGAACAACGGACACCGACGACGACGACGACAACGACAACGGCGCGAACAGACGCCAAUGGGAUCGAGAAAGAGAAAAAGAGUGAUAGAGAGGGAUAGAGAGGAUAGAUGUGGAAGAGGAAAGCGCGGAGAACUCGGUGGCGGCAAAUUGACGCGCGACUGACUGCCUCGAUCACAUAAAUGCGGACAAAACGCGAACUAACUUCAGCUCUCGCCGGUUGCGAGGACGUCGAGCCAAUACGCGCACGUGAUUCCCGACUGGCGUCUCAAUGGACGUCAGAAUCACUUCUCUGCCAGUCAUCCGUAACGAAGGACGUACAUUUGCAGACGGGAGCAGAUACUGAAUAUCCUAUAUGUAACGCGGCAGAGUUCGCGCUAAUCUCCGUAACGCACAAUCGAGGUAUGUAAUAUAGACAUAAACCUCAAAUGGAUGAACGGGGCCGGGCUUUGAAAGCGAGCUUGGCACGGUUUAUCCUAAGAUCACGCUUGUCGAUGAAAGGCUUGUUGUAUGUAAGACAUGCUAUCGAGAAUUGCCCUCGCUGGCGGACUGAUAAUGAGAUUCCAUAACAUGCUCUCAUUUGUAACGUCUAAUUGGAAUAAUACGAUUAUUUAUUACAAAUACCCUCCCGCGUUUCCAUCGGUAUAUAUCUUUUAAUACAAUUAAAUACAAGAUAGCCUGUGUACGAUCGUAGCAGGAUUUUCGUGCUGAAAUAAUGUUUCUCGUGUGAUUUUUACAUACUAUUUCUGAUUCUUUCGAACUGUGUAUCGUUACUUUCUGUUUCAAAUACAGCUCUUAGAUUGAAUCAGAAAAGUAACAUUACAGAAUUAAAUUGACGAGCCCCAAUUUAGUAUUACUGAUGCCUAACUAGCAUCUUUAAGAUCUCCCCCCCCCACCUCAGAAAAAAUGAAAAAUGCUAUGACCGUAUUUAGCCUUAUCUCGUUUUUAACUGUAUUAUAUACAAAUUACGAUCUAGGUUCAAUUAUUAAUUAUUGUAUAUUUUUUAAUAAUAUUUUAUAUGAGAAAACGAGUUUACACAAAAUUAAUCUAAAAUGUGUAUACGUUUCAAUCAUUCUUAUUAAAAGCACGGCCCGGGUAAGUGUUAAUAGUUCUUUGCUGCAAAAGCGAAGAAAGAAUUUUUCGAAGCAAGUUUAAAGGCACAACAAAAGUGGCGUAUUGUCCUGGCGAGGAGAAAAGAACAAGAACGAAUGGAAAGAGAAGAGGAAAAAGCAGACAAGAGAAAAGGCGGGAAGAGAGAGAGAGAGAGAGAGAGAGAGAGAGAGAGAGAAGAGAGUUCAAAGUGAUUGCUUAAAGGAUCGAUUAAAGCAUCCGUCGAAGACAGUGUCGAAACGCUUCAGUCCGGCAGUUUGAAGGAAGCUGGACGACGACGACGAUCCCAAGGUCCGACAUGGCAAGGGGUGUGGUACGUGAAGGGUGAACGUGAGUUUGUAGUAACGAAAGAGAGAAAGCCCCGGCCGCCUCGGUUGCGUGUACGCGGGUAUACGUGUGUGUAUGCGAGCGCGCGGGUGUACGUGCGCGCGCGAGUAUAUUCGACGGAGGCGAAGAGAGAACGACCGAGAUCUGAAAUGGGAGCGAGCGAGAGGUCGGCUGUUUCAUCUGUCACCUGCAGACGCCGCCUUCCUUUCCGUCAUCGUCCCUCUCACCCGACCGGCAGCCACCCUCCCGCCCCCGGCGACCCCCUUUAAUAAUAACAACAAUAGAGCUGGACUCUAGCGGCGGUCGGUCGCCGUCGUGGCAUGUGGACCGGGGGGUGGACGUCAGCGAGAAGGGGUCAGGAGGAGACGGGGAAGGAGUGGUGUCGGUGGUAGGGUAUGGGUCACAAGACGGCCGUGUCACGUCCGCUUCCAGCCUCAACCCUCCUCCUCGACAGGUCCACCCCGCGUGUCAACCUCAUCCAGGGACGUAGGGUAUUCCUCGGGCUCAGGUGCAUCUCGUACACAUUCGCGAAUUCAAAGAUCCGAUAUACGUUUCUCAAUUGUCGCGAGAUAGAGAUGUGGCUCAGAAGAGACGAUGUAUCAAAGUUAUUUAUGAUCUGGCAAAUGGAUUUGAAGAAUAUGGCAUGGGACACGCAUCUCGGAAGCGCACAUUUUUCCGGAAGCAGCCGCGAGGACCGAUCCGUCCCUGACUUCAUCCAGCCCCACCUUUUACUAGCGUCCGUCCGUCGGCUCGUCUCCCCCCACCUCGCCUUUCGCGACCCUUAUUACACGUCGCGGCUCAACUUCAUCAGGGGGAUGUCGCACCACUCUCACGAGUACCAGCAUUAACCUACACACAGGGGGCUACGUCACGUGUACGUGCACGCUACGUGGCAAUGCUAAUGUUCAGGAAUGCAACCGUGUACGUAGAUGCAUCUGCAGUAUUUCGCGAUAAUGGUGCACCUCGGGUAGGGGCGAAACGCCUCGUGCCUCGUGCAAUGUAAUUAUAAUUUUGCGAUAUAUAUAUUACAAAAAUAUGAUGCAACCUCGCGUGUUUUCCAGCUACGUACCAGCUCGUGAAUCACAUAGAGAUCGGAAAGCUCUUACUACGCAUGGAUUAUAUUUAUCACGUAAUGCGACAUUAAUAUUGUAUCGUUAUAUGUAUUCAUAUCAAUACUUGUCAAUAUUAAAAUUAGUUAACAAAACUAAAUAAAAAAGAAUAAAUUAUUCGCAUUAUUCGCCAA